rnacentral:misc_RNA from 1 species
GAAAUGCGAUAAGUAAUGUGAAUUGCAGAAUUCAGUGAAUCAUCGAAUCUUUGAACGCACAUUGCGCCCGCCAGCACUCUGGCGGGCAUGCCUGUUCGAGCGUCAUUUCAACCCUCGACCUCCCCUUGGGGAGGCCGGCCGUUGGAGAUCGGCAGCGAUUGCCGGCUCCCAAAUUCAGUGGCGACCCGCCGCGGGGACCCCUGCGCAGUAACAUACACUCGCACCGGAAACCAGACGUGUCACGCCGUAAAACCCCAACUUUCUGAACGUUGACCUCGGAUCAGGUAGGAAUACCCGCUGAACUUAAGC